rnacentral:rRNA from 1 species
UUGUUCCUACGGGGGGCAGCAGUAGGGAAUAUUGCUCAAUGGGGGAAACCCUGAAGCAGCAACGCCGCGUGGAGGAUGAAGGCUUUCGGAUUGUAAACUCCUUUUGUUAGAGAAGAUAAUGACGGUAUCUAACGAAUAAGCACCGGCUAACUCCGUGCCAGCAGCCGCGGUAAUACGGAGGGUGCAAGCGUUACUCGGAAUCACUGGGCGUAAAGAGCGCGUAGGCGGGAUAGCAAGUCAGAUGUGAAAUCCUAUGGAUUAAACAU